AAUGGAUGAAAGUAAAAAAGAUAAAGUCAAGCGAAAACUGUUUGAAAAACCUGUAGCUAUUGUCAAACCUAUGUACCAAAAAACAUCUGUAAACCUCCUCAAAUCUAUGUUCCUCAAGUGGUUAAAACAAGACCACUUGAGGAAAUAGAUAAACGAUUGAAUGAAGGAGAGCUGGAAUUAAUUGAGGAUAUUCCAGAAAUAGACGAUGAACAUGUGCGUAUACUUGAUCAUAUUAUGAUGAGAAUCGAUCAUCAUUUAGAUGACAAUAAAAUGGAUAGAAAUGAUAGGUACUUUGCACUUAAUCGAGACGCGACAUCGAGACGCGAGAUAUGUUUAGGAUGCUGCCUGUGCGAAGAAGAAAGCGAGCACAAUCAUUGUUGUGUAACAACCGUGUGCCCGUACGUACAAGAACUAUUUGAACGGUGCCGCGGCUGCUGCUAUUGUAUAUAAAAAUUUGUAAUUAAUUGUAAAUUUGUAAAUAAAAAAUUCAUUUAUUAAAAUGUCUUUUGAUGCGACCGACGAUUGUUUGUUAUAUUUAUAUCAGGUCAAUUUAGAUUUAAAAAAACAUUUACAGGAAACGCAUUUAGUUCAAGGUAUUUGGAUGGAUAAAGUUCUUUUAGCCGAAGAAAGCCAAUUGGAUAGUUGUAAAAGAGUUUGCGGUUUUUAUAUUAAAGAUCCAAAAAUUAUAAAGACAUCAAAAAGAGUUGAUAAAAGUUGUUGAUAUGUUAUUUGAAUGUCUUCCGUAUCGCGUAUUUUAUUCCAACACGUGUUAUCAUAACUAUAGUGAAGUCAUUGAACAUUGUCUUGAUGUGUUAAAGACAUUUUAUUAUUAUUUUACUUGUAUAGAUAAAUCGUAUAAAAAAAUAAACUAUGUAAACAGUUUAAAAAUAAUAGUUCAACAAUUGUGUUAUUAUUGUGAAGGAUUAGUUG